AGGCUGUGGCUCAACCAUAGUUCGCUUUGGAAACUGUCAAACUUGAGUGCAGAAGGGGAAAGUGGAAUUCCACGUGUAGCGGUGAAAUGCGUAGAUAUGUGGAGGAACACCAGUGGCGAAGGCGACUUUCUGGCCUAUAACUGACGCUGAGGCGCGAAAGCGUGGGGAGCAAACAGGAUUAGAUACCCUGGUAGUCCACGCUGUAAACGAUGAGUGCUAGGUGUUAGGGGUUUCGAUACCCUUAGUGCCGAAGUUAACACAUUAAGCACUCCGCCUGGGGAGUACGGCCGCAAGGCUGAAACUCAAAGGAAUUGACGGGGGCCCGCACAAGCAGUGGAGCAUGUGGUUUAAUUCGAAGCAACGCGAAGAACCUUAC
rnacentral:rRNA from 1 species